rnacentral:rRNA from 1 species
GGUUAAGCGACUAAGCGUACACGGUGGAUGCCCUGGCAGUCAGAGGCGAUGAAGGACGUGCUAAUCUGCGAUAAGCGUCGGUAAGGUGAUAUGAACCGUUAUAACCGGCGAUUUCCGAAUGGGGAAACCCAGUGUGAUUCGUCACACUAUCAUUAACUGAAUCCAUAGGUUAAUGAGGCGAACCGGGGGAACUGAAACAUCUAAGUACCCCGAGGAAAAGAAAUCAACCGAGAUUCCCCCAGUAGCGGCGAGCGAACGGGGAGCAGCCCAGAGCCUGAAUCAGUGUGUGUGUUAGUGGAAGCGUCUGGAAAGGCGCGCGAUACAGGGUGACAGCCCCGUACACAAAAAUGCACAUGCUGUGAGCUCGAUGAGUAGGGCGGGACACGUGGUAUCCUGUCUGAAUAUGGGGGGACCAUCCUCCAAGGCUAAAUACUCCUGACUGACCGAUAGUGAACCAGUACCGUGAGGGAAAGGCGAAAAGAACCCCGGCGAGGGGAGUGAAAAAGAACCUGAAACCGUGUACGUACAAGCAGUGGGAGCACGCUUAGGCGUGUGACUGCGUACCUUUUGUAUAAUGGGUCAGCGACUUAUAUUCUGUAGCAAGGUUAACCGAAUAGGGGAGCCGAAGGGAAACCGAGUCUUAACUGGGCGUUAAGUUGCAGGGUAUAGACCCGAAACCCGGUGAUCUAGCCAUGGGCAGGUUGAAGGUUGGGUAACACUAACUGGAGGACCGAACCGACUAAUGUUGAAAAAUUAGCGGAUGACUUGUGGCUGGGGGUGAAAGGCCAAUCAAACCGGGAGAUAGCUGGUUCUCCCCGAAAGCUAUUUAGGUAGCGCCUCGUGAAUUCAUCUCCGGGGGUAGAGCACUGUUUCGGCAAGGGGGUCAUCCCGACUUACCAACCCGAUGCAAACUGCGAAUACCGGAGAAUGUUAUCACGGGAGACACACGGCGGGUGCUAACGUCCGUCGUGAAGAGGGAAACAACCCAGACCGCCAGCUAAGGUCCCAAAGUCAUGGUUAAGUGGGAAACGAUGUGGGAAGGCCCAGACAGCCAGGAUGUUGGCUUAGAAGCAGCCAUCAUUUAAAGAAAGCGUAAUAGCUCACUGGUCGAGUCGGCCUGCGCGGAAGAUGUAACGGGGCUAAACCAUGCACCGAAGCUGCGGCAGCGACGCUGAUGCGUUGUUGGGUAGGGGAGCGUUCUGUAAGCCUGCGAAGGUGUGCUGUGAGGCAUGCUGGAGGUAUCAGAAGUGCGAAUGCUGACAUAAGUAACGAUAAAGCGGGUGAAAAGCCCGCUCGCCGGAAGACCAAGGGUUCCUGUCCAACGUUAAUCGGGGCAGGGUGAGUCGACCCCUAAGGCGAGGCCGAAAGGCGUAGUCGAUGGGAAACAGGUUAAUAUUCCUGUACUUGGUGUUACUGCGAAGGGGGGACGGAGAAGGCUAUGUUGGCCGGGCGACGGUUGUCCCGGUUUAAGCGUGUAGGCUGGUUUUCCAGGCAAAUCCGGAAAAUCAAGGCUGAGGCGUGAUGACGAGGCACUACGGUGCUGAAGCAACAAAUGCCCUGCUUCCAGGAAAAGCCUCUAAGCAUCAGGUAACAUCAAAUCGUACCCCAAACCGACACAGGUGGUCAGGUAGAGAAUACCAAGGCGCUUGAGAGAACUCGGGUGAAGGAACUAGGCAAAAUGGUGCCGUAACUUCGGGAGAAGGCACGCUGAUAUGUAGGUGAAGUCCCUCGCGGAUGGAGCUGAAAUCAGUCGAAGAUACCAGCUGGCUGCAACUGUUUAUUAAAAACACAGCACUGUGCAAACACGAAAGUGGACGUAUACGGUGUGACGCCUGCCCGGUGCCGGAAGGUUAAUUGAUGGGGUCAGCGCAAGCGAAGCUCUUGAUCGAAGCCCCGGUAAACGGCGGCCGUAACUAUAACGGUCCUAAGGUAGCGAAAUUCCUUGUCGGGUAAGUUCCGACCUGCACGAAUGGCGUAAUGAUGGCCAGGCUGUCUCCACCCGAGACUCAGUGAAAUUGAACUCGCUGUGAAGAUGCAGUGUACCCGCGGCAAGACGGAAAGACCCCGUGAACCUUUACUAUAGCUUGACACUGAACAUUGAGCCUUGAUGUGUAGGAUAGGUGGGAGGCUUUGAAGUGUGGACGCCAGUCUGCAUGGAGCCGACCUUGAAAUACCACCCUUUAAUGUUUGAUGUUCUAACGUGGACCCGUAAUCCGGGUUGCGGACAGUGUCUGGUGGGUAGUUUGACUGGGGCGGUCUCCUCCUAAAGAGUAACGGAGGAGCACGAAGGUUGGCUAAUCCUGGUCGGACAUCAGGAGGUUAGUGCAAUGGCAUAAGCCAGCUUGACUGCGAGCGUGACGGCGCGAGCAGGUGCGAAAGCAGGUCAUAGUGAUCCGGUGGUUCUGAAUGGAAGGGCCAUCGCUCAACGGAUAAAAGGUACUCCGGGGAUAACAGGCUGAUACCGCCCAAGAGUUCAUAUCGACGGCGGUGUUUGGCACCUCGAUGUCGGCUCAUCACAUCCUGGGGCUGAAGUAGGUCCCAAGGGUAUGGCUGUUCGCCAUUUAAAGUGGUACGCGAGCUGGGUUUAGAACGUCGUGAGACAGUUCGGUCCCUAUCUGCCGUGGGCGCUGGAGAACUGAGGGGGGCUGCUCCUAGUACGAGAGGACCGGAGUGGACGCAUCACUGGUGUUCGGGUUGUCAUGCCAAUGGCACUGCCCGGUAGCUAAAUGCGGAAGAGAUAAGUGCUGAAAGCAUCUAAGCACGAAACUUGCCCCGAGAUGAGUUCUCCCUGACCCUUUAAGGGUCCUGAAGGAACGUUGAAGACGACGACGUUGAUAGGCCGGGUGUGUAAGCGCAGCGAUGCGUUGAGCUAACCGGUACUAAUGAACCGUGAGGCUUAACCUU